UAGGUUCUUUUCGUGCAUCUUCUUCCUCCUGAGAGCUGCUUUGGCUGCUACACACCAACAAAAAAAACUUAUCAGUACCCUUUCACAGACUUUUACCACCAGAAAACAACAACGGGUUUUGGUGGUACGAACCAUUCUUAUUCGACGUAACAAACUUCUUCGCUAUGGCUUCUUGUUCCGUUAUUUGAUUCUCCAGGUGUUUCUCCCUCUUUUGGAGCAUAUCGAGCUGUUCGCGGAGUUUGAGGAUUGCUUCUUUGGGGGCAUCGCGGCGCUUUUGCGCGGACUGGCCACCAAACCAGGACCACAUCUUGGUGGGGGGGUUUUCUUUUGUGUUUCUGUUGUAGUAUUAUGAAUCGCGCCGCUUUUAUGUUCUAAGGGGGUAUCUUGUGAGGCAAGACGACUGUGGUUCUCGCAAUCGGAUAGAAAUUAUACUGAAUGCCCGUUGAGCUCGUGAAGGUUGAAGCUGAAAGGAGGGGAACGUUAUCGGCAGCGGAACGGUACCACCUCCUCCGAUAUCAACCUUUGUCAAUAUUUAGCAAAUUCUGAUGUCGAAGAUCAAAGAAAAUGCUGUAUUGCAGCUAAGUUGUUAGGGAUAGUCGAGUUGAAAGACAAUAUGGUAGCCUGGAAGAAAGAAAGAAAGAAAGCGUCGGUCCCCUC
rnacentral:lncRNA from 1 species